rnacentral:rRNA from 1 species
CACCGCGGUUACACGAGGGGCUCAAGUUGACAGCCUGCGGCGUAAAGAGUGGUUAGGAUAAAAUAGUAGUAGAGCCGAACAUAGACUACGUUGUUAUACACUAACGGCAACAGGAAGCCCAAUUACGAAAGUAGCUCUAUACAACUGACGCCACGGAAGCUAGGAAA